UCCAUACCCGAAAUUUUAUCUAAAUUCGAACCCGAACGUGAAUGAAGUGGAUUUAGCCGAUGCUAAACAAAAUGGUCUCGGAUAUGGGUAUUAAAAAUAAAAAUUAAACAGAUAUGAAUUCGGAUAUGAAUUUUAACUGUACCGAACCUAAAUUUAUUUUAUAUUAUAUAUAAUAUGUAUAUAAAAAUUUGAUAUUAUAUUUGAAUCUGUAUUUUAAAAUUUUAGAUUUAAUGUAAUAUAGUUUGAAAUAUUGAAAAAAGAUAUAAUUGUUUCAGGUUCGAGUUCGGGUUCAGGUUCAAGUUCGGAUUCGAGUUUUUAAAAAUUCGCCGUGAAUCCAAGCCGUUGACAUCCCUAAGCAACCGUGAGUAUAAGGAGGCAAACGGUGCGGAUCAUGAUUCUUGAGGCAUUUACGGGUUAAAAAUUCGAAUUGUCAAUCCACGCCGCCAAAUUUGAUCUACGUUAUUUGGACAUAUUAAACUUUAAAUUUCGUAAUUUUAUGAUAUCAUUUGCAGUGUGCUGGGUCGUCUAAAAAUUAAAUAAUUUUUAACGGCUAAUAUAAAGUGAACUUGAGAUUACGAGGCAAAUAGUAUCGUAACAUCGUAAAAUUUGAAAUAUAAGAAUGUUUAAAUAGGUUAGAUUAAGUUUAGCAGUAUGGAUUGUCUACUCGGACUUUCAUCGCCGGAACGACCUAGAAGCACUCCCCUUAAUGCUUUCAGAAAUACAUGUAUACGUA
rnacentral:lncRNA from 1 species